GACGAACGCUGGCGGCGUGCCUAAUACAUGCAAGUCGAACGCAGUGGGGACGGGUGAGUAACACGUGGGUAGCCUCCCAUCAGAGGGGAUAACACUUGGAAACAGGUGCUAAACCGAUACUGCUGGAUGGACCCGCGGUGGAGUAGCUAGUUGGUGGGGUAACGGCUCACCAAGGCCACGAUGCAUAGCCGGCCUGAGAGGGGGAUCGGCCACACUGGGACUGAGACACGGCCCAGACUCCUACGGGAGGCAGCAGUGGGGAAUAUUGCACAAUGGGCGAAAGCCUGAUGCAGCCAUGCCGCGUGUAUGAAGAAGGCCUUCGGGUUGUAAAGUACUUUUGGCGGGGAGGCGGUACCUGCAGAAGAAGCACCGGCUAACUCCGUGCCAGCAGCCGCGGUAAUUC
rnacentral:rRNA from 1 species